rnacentral:ncRNA from 1 species
GAUAAUGUGAUGACGGGGACAAGUAGGCAGGCAUUGCACCUUCAGAAAGCCGGUGGUUGAUGCGAACCGGUAGGACAAACCUGAUGAAUGGACCCCUGAGCGCCGAGCUUGAACGGGAGCUAGAUACCCUAGUAGACCGGCCGGAUCUUCCCCGUUAACGGAAGACUAAGGCUGUUUUUUCUUGUUCAAACAAGAUUAAGCAGCGAAUAAGGGUGGCACCACGGUCUCACGUCCCUUGC